CAGAAAUAAAACCAAAAUAAAGAAAUCAAUUAAAAACAUGAAGUCACAACAAAAUAUUCCAAUAAUGGAAUUUAAAUUAAAAAUAAAUUAUAACUGACAUAAAUAGCAACAACAAAAAAUUAAAAAUAUUCUGACAAAAUCUGUUUAUUAAUAUGUGUGUGCAAUAGUUAUAUUUUCACAAUUCAAGAAGAACUUAUCCUCCUUUAUCUACUCUACAUUAGCACCUAUAAUUUUCUGAAAUAAGUUCAGAUAGUUGAUUUCUACACAACAAAAUUCUACAUUGAUACUGUGAGUCAUGUGCACCAUUAUAAGUUCUUUACUAUUCUAAGAUAUACUGUGGAUUCAUUUAUUUUUGUGGAUAUCAAUUUUCUUCAUUUCAGGAAACAUUGUAUUUUCAUUGAUAUUUGAUUUCAUGGUUUGCCAGAGUCUACAUACAGAACAUUUGAAUUCGUGAUUCACCUUUACCACGAAAUCCACGCAAAUUGAUAUACCACCAAUAAAAAUGAAUCCACAUUAUAAUAUGUAUGGCACUGCAUCAUAAACUUGUUAGCUUCAAGGUUAUUUGUGACUCUGUUUACAUUAUUUG
rnacentral:lncRNA from 1 species